AUACAUGCAAGUCGAACGAGUUCUCGUUGAUGAUCGGUGCUUGCACCGAGAUUCAACAUGGAACGAGUGGCGGACGGGUGAGUAACACGUGGGUAACCUGCCCUUAAGUGGGGGAUAACAUUUGGAAACAGAUGCUAAUACCGCAUAGAUCCAAGAACCGCAUGGUUCUUGGCUGAAAGAUGGCGUAAGCUAUCGCUUUUGGAUGGACCCGCGGCGUAUUAGCUAGUUGGUGAGGUAAUGGCUCACCAAGGCGAUGAUACGUAGCCGAACUGAGAGGUUGAUCGGCCACAUUGGGACUGAGACACGGCCCAAACUCCUACGGGAGGCAGCAGUAGGGAAUCUUCCACAAUGGACGCAAGUCUGAUGGAGCAACGCCGCGUGAGUGAAGAAGGCUUUCGGGUCGUAAAACUCUGUUGUUGGAGAAGAAUGGUCGGCAGAGUAACUGUUGUCGGCGUGACGGUAUCCAACCAGAAAGCCACGGCUAACUACGUGCCAGCAGCCGCGGUAAUACGUAGGUGGCAAGCGUUAUCCGGAUUUAUUGGGCGUAAAGCGAGCGCAGGCGGUUUUUUAAGUCUGAUGUGAAAGCCCUCGGCUUAACCGAGGAAGCGCAUCGGAAACUGGGAAACUUGAGUGCAGAAGAGGACAGUGGAACUCCAUGUGUAGCGGUGAAAUGCGUAGAUAUAUGGAAGAACACCAGUGGCGAAGGCGGCUGUCUGGUCUGUAACUGACGCUGAGGCUCGAAAGCAUGGGUAGCGAACAGGAUUAGAUACCCUGGUAGUCCAUGCCGUAAACGAUGAAUGCUAGGUGUUGGAGGGUUUCCGCCCUUCAGUGCCGCAGCUAACGCAUUAAGCAUUCCGCCUGGGGAGUACGACCGCAAGGUUGAAACUCAAAGGAAUUGACGGGGGCCC
rnacentral:rRNA from 1 species